UCUUAUAUUUCGGUUUACAAUUUCAAGCGGUUGUACAAACGAAAUGGUCAGAUGUCUUUUAUCUUUUAAUGUAGAAACUGGUUACUACGCUCUGGAAUCUCAUAAACGGAACGAGUUGAAUAAAUAAUAAAAGACCCGAGUUCUCGAAUGGAGAUUCAGAGCGUGAUAUAGUCAUUAUUUUUGUUGCAAUUAUGAGGAUAAAUAUUUUUCAUACAAACAGCAUUCGUACAUCUGCCGCCAUCUGGACAGACGCCGUACAGUCUUGCAGAUGGCGCAACAUGAACAGUUUCAGUUUCGAAACAUUAGAAUUUGUGGCAGAAUAUUCGAUUCAAAGUUUUUUGUGAGAAAAAGAAAAAAUGUGAAUGAUUAUGAAACGUUAACGAAAUUGUUUGAAUUAUAAGAAAUCGAUGACUUGAUAAUAUAUACGGGAGACAGUUUUAUAAGUUACUUUAAAAAUUACAAGAUUUUCGCAACUCAAGAUUCAACAACUCUACAUAAAUAUACAAGUGCAUAUAUACAAUAUUGGAAGAGAUUCAAAGAAUAUAACUAAAAGAAGACGAGACUAAAACAAAUGUCGACCACGUGAAAAUCGUGUCUCGUUGUUUAUCGAAAUUCGAAAUGGGUCGAAAAAUCCCAGGAAAAAAGCACAGAGGUGUGAAAGAUCCUUUUAAACAACAGGCAAAACGUCAGGCAGAGUUAGAAACAAAAAUAAAUGCACCGCCAAAAGAUGUGAACGAACAAGCUAUACCGAAAAGUUUAGAAAAAAUAAUAGAGUUAAAAGAGGCAGUGAAAUUGGGAAAAAUAGGUAAAAUAAAAAAAAGGAAGAAGAAGAAAAAUAAUCUUAUAUCCGUUGGUAAACAAGAAUCUAAGCCUUUACAUCCAAAGGCUAGACCAGAGAAAGUUGUUCCUAUAUUUCAACAAAGGCCUGGAGAAUCUGAACAACGAUUUUUACAUAGAGUUAAUCGAGAUACGCAAGUUUUCAUUAAUGAAUUUGCUUUUGAGAAAAAAUAUGAUGUUCAAGUUAAUCGAAAUCCAGAAACAGGAAACAUCGAAGGAGUUUCAAAAUGUGAACAAACUGAAUUAGACAAAAUUGAAAUGUUGAAAUCGAGUCAUAAAAAUAUUAAAAAAAAAAAAAAAAACAGCGAUAUCAAUAAGAUCAAAAUGACUAAAACUGAAAAGAAGAAGGAGAAAUUGAAAUUGAAGAAAGAGAAACAAAUGGAAGAAAAAUUAGACGAAUUUGAUAAUUAUAAAGAUCAAGUUGAAUUUGGAGAAGUGGUUCAUGAACCACCUCAAUUAAAAAUUAAACCAAAAAAUGCUAAUGCUAUAAAUACCUCUAAACCUGGUAGAAAGAAUCUUCUUCUUUAUUCAAUGCUCAAAAAGAAUGAAAAUUCAAAGUUGGAGAAUGCUAAGACGAGAAUGACUAUAGAUAGAUCAGGAAAACGUAAAAAAUUACCACUUGGAGAAAGAAGACAGUUAGAAAAACAACAGAAUGAUGUUAUAGCAGCAUACAGAAUAUUGAAAGCACAAAAAUCUGCUGGUAUUAACUAGGAAAAUUCGGUGAAGAUCGGACAGAAGCAUCGGAGACAGGAAUACGAAGUUGGACGAAGAUCCAAGGCCUAUCCAUCUUCGUCGUUCGAACGAUCUACGUGACUGGCCACGUGACUGGUGCGCGAACAGAUGGAAACGAAGGGGGAGAGAAAAAGUAAUUGCAAAGUGGCGAUGAUCCCCUGCUACUAACAGAGUGUGGAGAAUUAACCGAGUUGUUGAAGUGAGAGCCGCAUUAACGUGUUAUUAACGUCAUGUAACCAACAUCGCGAAAGUAAUCAUGGAGAAGGUAUGCAGGCCUGCUUGGAGUAAUCCUCGACCCAUCAAGGAGCGCGGCGCGGCGGAAUCGAAGGGCUGACGAAGGGGCGUC